GCUGCAUAUGUGUACCAAAUUUGGUAGCUGUAGGUGAAACAUGAUGGCCGUGGGAAAGUGUAGGGGGCGCUAUGGAGCCAUUUUGCCACACACCUCCACAAUUCCUUUAAAAUAUGAAAUUUUUCACCAGUCCUGAUGUGUGUACAAAUUUUCAUGAGUUUUUGAGCAUGUUUAGGCCCUCAAAAAUGCAAUUGUUCUGAGAGACAAAUAAUAAUAAUUAAAGCUGCGAGCAGCGUUGAACGGGUCCUCGCAUCCUUGCUGGUCGGCGACCCCAAGCAUGUCCACCAGGCAAUGCUGCGACAAAGUGUAUUUAGGCUCAUGGAUGUAACGAGGACUGGAUUCUGAGCACUCAGGUCAAAUUUCAGACAGAUUGGAGCAUGUACAGACUAUUUUUGCAGCACUUUGUGUCCAUCCACCAGGUGGCACUAUGUCUGUGACUGUAUAGUGGUCUAUGAAACUCAUCAGGACUGGACUCUGAUCAAACAUGUAAAGUUUGAGGUAGAUUACAGCAUGUACAGGGGAUUUACACAAGACGUCCUGCUUCAUGGCGUAACAUUAAAGUUCAGUUGGCCGCCAUGGCCAUGCCCUUUGAGUUUUGUGAACAAUUUUCGCAAAUAUGCAACCUGAAGGCGUUUCUUAUAUAUUUUCCCAAAUUCAGGUGUUUUGGAGUUAUUGCCAGUGACAAAUGAAUUGUUGAAAAUGACCAAAAACACCAAAAAUCUGACAUUUAAUUCAAAAUGGCUGACUUUCUGUUGUGUUUAGAGAAUGACUCCAAGAGACUUUUUUGCUUGCACUGAUGUGCUACAUAUGCAUGCCAAAUUUCAUAGUCAUAGGUGAAAGUCUGUGUGGAGGCUAUUUUUUAAAUUCUUUUAGGGGGCGCUAUGGUAGAUGCUGUGAAUGUAUUUUGGCCAAUAAAUGUGAUCAGGACAGGACUGUGUUUAAUCAUGUGAGGUCUGAGGUAGAUUGGAGCAUGCAGAGGAUAGUUAGGUAGCACUUGAUGUUUCAUGGCGAACCAUCAAAAUUCUGGAGGUCGCCAUGUCCACACCCUUUGACUCUGCAAGAAUCUUUUAAUAACUUUUGAUCAUAACAUCGUGUUGUAUA